UGAAAUCUGCAGGACAGUAGCUCUCCAGGAGCAGGGUUGGAGACCCCUGCUUUAGAGGAUGUGAGUGUGUCAGAGGCUGCGUAAUGAAGUAUUUCUCAAAGGAAGUCCACCCUCAUCCGUGUCCCUCUUACCCACACGUCUCACUCCUGCAAUUACAGCAUGGGAUUGUGUGCGAGCAUUUGCGCAGAUGGACAGAAGGACAGGGAAGGUGGGGUGCUAGACAUACAGAUGGGACGCGCAUACCCACAGCCUGCCUUGUCACGAAGCUAUUAUCCCCCA
ensembl:lncRNA